GCUUAAGUAGCUUAAAUUUUAAAGCAUAAUAUUGAAGAUAUUAAUAUAAGAUUAUUUCUUCUUAGGUA
rnacentral:tRNA from 1 species